rnacentral:tRNA from 1 species
CAGGGUGUGGCUUAGUCUGGUAAAGUGCCGCACUUGGAAUACGAGAUCGAAGGCUCAAAUCCUUCUGCCCUGACCA